rnacentral:rRNA from 1 species
AUUGAACGCUGGCGGNAUGCCUUACACAUGCAAGUCGAACGGCAGCACGGGUGCUUGCACCUGGUGGCGAGUGGCGAACGGGUGAGUAAUACAUCGGAACGUCCUUAUCGUGGGGGAUAACGCAGCGAAAGCUGUGCUAAUCCCGCAUACGCCCUGAGGGGGAAAGCGGGGGAUCGAAAGACCUCGCGCGAUUAGAGCGGCCGAUGCCUGAUUAGCUUGUUGGUGGGGUAAAAGCCCACCAAGGCGACGAUCAGUAGCUGGUCUGAGAGGACGAUUAGCCACACUGGGACUGAGACACGGCCCAGACUCCUACGGGAGGCAGCAGUGGGGAAUUUUGGACAAUGGGGGCAACCCUGAUCCAGCAAUGCCGCGUGAGUGAAGAAGGCCUUCGAGUUGUAAAGCUCUUUUGUCAGGGAAGAAACACCGGCUCUUAACACAGUCCGGGAAUGACGGU